rnacentral:lncRNA from 1 species
GGGGUCCCUGAGGGUCCUGGGGGCACUGGGGGGGUCCCUGUGCCCUUGGGGGUCACUGGGGGUUGUGGUGGCACUGGGGGACAGACCUGGGAAUGGGAACAGGGACCCCUGGAAUGGGAACAGGGACCCUCUGGAAUGUGGACAGACCUGGGAAUGGGAACAGGGACCCUCUGGAAUGUGGGCAGGGACCCCUUGAAUGGGGACAGGGACCCCUUGGAAUGUGGGAAGAGACUCCUGGGAAUGGGGACAGACCUGGGAAUGGGAACAGGGACCCUCUGGAAUGGGAACAGGCCUUGGAAUGGGAACAGGGACCCUCUGGAAUGUGGGAACAGGGACCCCUGGAAUGGGAACAGGAACCCCUUGGGAUGGGAACAGGGACCCCCUGGAAUGGGAUCAGCCCUUGGAAUGGGAACAGGGACCCCCUGGAAUGGGAACAACCUUGGGAAUGGGAACAGGGACCCUCUGGAAUGGGAAAAGGGAUCCCCCCUGGAACGACUCGGGUGGGAGGGGGGUCUACUUGGGGUG